ACCGGGAGCGGCGGCGCGCUCCUGUAAUCCGGCUGCUCGGAGGUCGGAUUGCGUGGAUGGUUUGAGGUGGGGGUAACUGUGGCGGGACGCUCCGCGUUGAACGGACGUCCGCGCUAAGCUUGUCGUCAAUAUGGAUCCGGCGGGGUAGCCCAUCGGAUCCAGGUUAGCUAAGGCGAGGCGAACCGGGCCAGGGGGGAAACCCAGCAGCCAAAAGUCUCCGCGGUGAGCAGUAGCGGGAUCGCGUCUGCGAGUAGAACGCUCGUUUGCAGCCCCGCCGACACAACCAGACCGCAAUCCAA
rfam:Acyrthosiphon pisum strain LSR1 Contig38356, whole genome shotgun sequence.